AACAAACUCACCUCACCCUUGUUUCUUUUUUAUUUAACUUCUCAUUUCCCCAAAUCAAAAUCUGUAUGCUUUUCAUUUUUAUCCAAAUUAAAAUCUCUUCUACUUCUACCAUUGUUUCACUCCUAUCAUAGACUCCUAUCAUAGAAUCCCAAUCAAACUCCUAUCAUAGAAUCCCAAUCAAACCCUAAUCGAGCAAUAGAACCCUAGCCAUGUCGAUUAGAAAAUUACAGUGAGCUUGCAUGCGGUAGUAUGAACAGUGGAGCUCACGAAGCUGCACUUGAUUCGUGGAUAGUGCAAUCACCGGAAGAGGAAGCGAACACAUCGGCGUGACGAGGGUUCCAAACGGAGGAAUAUACACAGUAAGCGUUUUCUUUGAAAGUGCGAACGGAAAUGGGACGAUCGAGAGUUUAUAAUUUGACGGUGUCAUCCCAUGAACCGGAGAGGAAAGAGUCACGACAAACGGGGUUAAACGAUGGCGACGGCUAUGGGGUUUUCGUAGAAUGGACUAAACUUGACGGAGUAACCGUUGAAUGGGGUUUUGAAAACCGGCAUCAUUUUGAGAAUCGGAGUUUGGUCAGGUGAAACAGUGAGUAUUAGAUGUUUGAUGUUAUGCGCCUGAGGGAAGAUGCAUAAGGAAAGAUGGGGCAACUAAAGUCACUACAAAGUUUGAGCUGAAGCCACCGCCAUAUCUGCUAAGAUCUAAAAUCAAGUGCUGAAGCAGAUACUGCCUAAUGGAGUAGAAGUGCCUUCAUCUUUUGAAACAAUAGUCAAAUUUCCCACUUGAACCUACAUGAUGAAUUGCUUCUCUUCAAAGAUGUUUAUUGCGAAGGUUAUUUAUGAUGUAUGUAUGAUACUUUAAGUAUUUGAGCUUGAGUUUUAUCUCCUUAUUCCCAAUAAAGAGCCGCCUCUGUAUAUUUACUGCUACUUGGUGCACUAGUCUUGUUUAAUCACUAAUACUAGAUACAACGAUGCUUUGAUAGUCUUCACUGAA